AGUGAACGCUGGCGGUAGGCCUAACACAUGCAAGUCGAACGGCAGCACAGUAAGAGCUUGCUCUUACGGGUGGCGAGUGGCGGACGGGUGAGGAAUACAUCGGAAUCUACUUUUUCGUGGGGGAUAACGUAGGGAAACUUACGCUAAUACCGCAUACGACCUACGGGUGAAAGCAGGGGAUCUUCGGACCUUGCGCGAUUGAAUGAGCCGAUGUCGGAUUAGCUAGUUGGCGGGGUAAAGGCCCACCAAGGCGACGAUCCGUAGCUGGUCUGAGAGGAUGAUCGGCAACACGGGACCUGAGACACGUCCCAGAUCCUUAGGGGAGGCAGCGUGGGGAAUUAUGGGACAAGGGGCGCAAGCCUGUCCCAGCCAUACCGCGUGGUUGAAGAAGGCCUGCGGGUGUUAAAGCCUUUUGUUGGGAAAGAAAAGCAGCAGGUUAAUACCCCGCUGUUCUGACGGUACCCAAAGAAUAAGCACCGGCUAACUUCGUG
rnacentral:rRNA from 1 species